GUCAGCAUGGCAUAGUGGUUUGCAUGUUGGACUACAACUCUGGAGACCAGGGUUUGAUUCCCUGUUUGUCC
rnacentral:tRNA from 1 species